rnacentral:lncRNA from 1 species
GCAAGUUUUCACUGGGUCUUACCCGACGUGAGCCCCCACUCCUCCAUAUGGACCUGUUUUGGACCAAUGAGGCAUCCUCUUCUGUAGUCCUCAACACGCGGAGCUCCACCACUCCUGAGCAGUGUGACCUCAGGCGUGCUUGCUGCAGAGGCAUCGGGGGUCUCUGGCCAGAGGUGACAUCUGAAGCAAUCGGGAUCCUGUUUGGUUUUGCCACAUCCGACCUGCCGCCCAGCUGGGGCAAGACAGCCACGCGCGGCGGAUGCACCGGCCCUGAACUCUUUCUCGAGUAGUCCCCAGAGAUUUCAGGAAGAGAGAGAAGAGGUAAAGAGACCAGAAACAAAGUCUUCUGCAAGCAAAGAACUGCAACAGGCCCCAGCUGUUAGGUUUGAGGGGCGUAUGGGGCAGGCGACUGAACUGCAGAGUUGGAGCCAGAGGUACCAUUGCUGACCCCUGAGCCCAGGAGCCUUGAGAAUACUGACAGUGUUAAUAAUAACUGCAAUCAUCCAACAUAUGAUGCUAGAAUAACUGGACAUCUGUGUGCAAAAAUAUUAAACCUAUACCUUGCACCUUAUCACAAAAUUCACUCAAAAUAGAUCAUAGACCAAAAUGUGAAACAUAAAACUAAGACUUCC